GGCGAACGGGUGAGUAACACGUGGGCAAUCUGCCCUGCACUCUGGGACAAGCCCUGGAAACGGGGUCUAAUACCGGAUACUGAUCCUUCUGGGCAUCCAGAGGGUUCGAAAGCUCCGGCGGUGCAGGAUGAGCCCGCGGCCUAUCAGCUUGUUGGUGAGGUAAUGGCUCACCAAGGCGACGACGGGUAGCCGGCCUGAGAGGGCGACCGGCCACACUGGGACUGAGACACGGCCCAGACUCCUACGGGAGGCAGCAGUGGGGAAUAUUGCACAAUGGGCGCAAGCCUGAUGCAGCGACGCCGCGUGAGGGAUGACGGCCUUCGGGUUGUAAACCUCUUUCAGCAGGGAAGAAGCGAGAGUGACGGUACCUG
rnacentral:rRNA from 1 species